CCUACGGGAGGCAGCAGUGGGGAAUCUUGCGCAAUGCACGAAAGUGUGACGCAGCAACGCCGCGUGGAGGAAGAAGGCUCUCGGGUCGUAAACUCCUUUCAGUUGGGACGAAGCUUCGUCGGUUAAUAGCCGGCUGGAGUGACGGUACCUUCACAAGAAGCACCGGCUAACUACGUGCCAGCAGCCGCGGUAAUACGUAGGGUGCAAGCGUUGUCCGGAAUCAUUGGGCGUAAAGAGCGUGUAGGCGGCCCGAUUAGUCCGCUGUGAAAGUCCAGGGCUCAACCCUGGAAUGCCGGUGGAUACUGUCGGGCUCGAGUCCGGAAGAGGCGAGUGGAAUUCCUGGUGUAGCGGUGAAAUGCGCAGAUAUCAGGAAGAACACCAACGGCGAAGGCAGCUCGCUGGGACGGUACUGACGCUGAGACGCGAAAGCGUGGGGAGCAAACGGGAUUAGAUACCCUGGUAGUCCACGCCGUAAACGAUGGGUACUAGGUGUGGGGGUGUCGACUCCCCCGUGCCGAGCUAACGCAUAAGUACCCCGCCUGGGAGUACGGCCGCAAGGCAAAACUCAAAGAGAGUGACGCGUGAGNGUCGCGAGGCACACGAGGGAGAGG
rnacentral:rRNA from 1 species